rnacentral:rRNA from 1 species
UACGUAGGUGGCAAGCGUUGUUCGGAAUUAUUGGGCGUAAAGCGCGCGCAGGCGGUCCUUUAAGUCUGAUGUGAAAGCCCACGGCUCAACCGUGGAGGGUCAUUGGAAACUGGGGGACUUGAGUGCAGAAGAGGAAAGUGGAAUUCCAAGUGUAGCGGUGAAAUGCGUAGAGAUUUGGAGGAACACCAGUGGCGAAGGCGACUUUCUGGUCUGUAACUGACGCUGAAGCACGAAAGCGUGGGGAGCAAACAGG